UUAUGGCCAUAUCAUGUUGAACACCAGUUCUCAUACAAUUACUGAAGUUAAGCAACAUGAAGCCUGGUCCGUAAUUAGAUGGGUGACCACUUGGGAAUACCAGGUGCUGUAAG